CCAUAGGCCAAGAAGUAAUAAACGUAUAAACUGCAUUGCAAUUUUUCAUUGCCAUAUUUAUAUUACCAUACUACCUACACGUUAUCGCGCGGUGUAUACGUAUAAACUAUGAAAAAACUAUGAUAAAAAAUAGAAAAAAAAAACAACGCAAUCGUAUCAUUGCAAAAAAUAUACAUGUAGAUACAAUGUAGAUAAUUGUAUUGAUAAAAGUCGAAUGUCAUGCUGUGCUGCGCAAGUAUAGUAUCGUGAAGCAGAGUUCUUAUGAACUCGAAUCUGAAAGCCAAAUUCAUCUAUCUAAAAAAUUGAGCGAGUUAUCGCCAUGUUGUCGCUUUAAAAAUGGAGAUAUCUUGAUGAGAAAAAUUCGUAGAUCGACAAAAAAAACUCUCAACACGUGUGAAAUAUAAUGAUGUAAAAUUGAAGAAAAAAUGCUGGUGUAUAUAAACCACAGGACAAUGAUCUAAUCAUAAGGAAGAAUAUAUCAGUGGAGGAUAUUCCCCUUUUCACCUGCCUAGUCUUUAUAAUUAAGCUCACGCUGUGAUGAAUAUCGUUAAAUAAAAGGAUUCUAAAUUUAAUACUCAAGAGUUGAACUGGAAUUUUUUGCUCACAGUGCAGCGAUUCGGCCUCGCUUCGCUAUCUGAAUACAUAAGAAAACGAAAAAAAAAAGAUGA